UACGAAGGGGGCGAGCGUUGUUCGGAUUUACUGGGCGUAAAGGGCGCGUAGGCGGUCUUGAAAGUCAGGCGUGAAAGCCCCGGGCUUAACCUGGGAAUUGCGCUUGAUACUCUGAGACUGGAGUACGGGAGAGGAGAGUGGAAUUCCCAGUGUAGAGGUGAAAUUCGUAGAUAUUGGGAAGAACACCAGUGGCGAAGGCGGCUCUCUGGACCGUAACUGACGCUGAGGCGCGAAAGCGUGGGGAGCAAACAGG
rnacentral:rRNA from 1 species